ACUGCUUGUGUGGGAUACUAAAGUGACACUUACCGGGAAUUAAAAAAAUUAGACCAAAAAAGUCAAUUCUGUGUUAAAGGACCACUAUAGUGCCAGGAAAACAUACUCGUUUUCCUGGCACUAUAGUGCCCUGAGGGUGCCCCCACCCUCAGGGACCCCCUCCCGCCCGGCUUUGGAAGGGGGAAAGGUGUUUAAACUUACCUUUUUC